CUGCCUUCUGAUGACAUGUUGUGUCUUCGCCAUGGGGAGAGGAGGAAGCCAGCUUUGAAACUGUAACGCAGUGCCUUUGUGAACGGCGCAGCAAACAGAGGCGGAGCUGGGAUGCAGACAAUAGACCCCCUCCACAUCAGAUUAGAAGGUCAACAGCCCAAAUCUCAGGAAAGAAGUGCCUGGAAAGCAGUGGGGUGCUGGCAAUGCUCAAAGACCUGGGGAGAGAGAGUCCUUUGCUGGCCUUGAGGUGGGAAGUCCCCAUGUGGUGAGAGGGCCUGAGAGGGGCCACAUGCAAGGAACUGCGGAGCAGCACCCAGGUGACAGCAAGAGAGUGGGGCCCUCUAUCCUACAGCUACAAGGAACUAAAUCCUGCUGACAACUCUCUGAGCUUGUUAGAGGAUCCAAGAUCCAGACAGAAAUGCAACCCACCGACUGACUCCCUGUGGCGGCCUUGUGAG